AUCUGAUUUCAUAAAUCGCACCAUUUAUUAGUCACUCCUAUAAAUUCAUUACUACAAAACAUAGAAACAAAUAUGGCACAUAAUAACCCCCCAAAUCACAAUCACAGAUCCUUAAAUGAACUUCAUCAGCUCAGAGUAACUCAAAUUCACAAUCCCAAAAAAUCAAUCAACUACCAUCUUAAGGAUUGCUUCUCACUUAUAUACUGUGUUCUAGCUAUGUUCCUAUUACUGAUAGAUAAGAGAUUUUCAACACCAAUAAUUGAUAUGACUGUAGAUAAAGUUGAUACAAUCAAUUGACGAAAGUUAACCAAUUUGUUUUAUGAAAGUUCUCUAACUUAUUCGAAGAUUUCACAAGAUUAAGUUGAUGUUUGGGGAGAAAUAAGAAGAAAGGAAGAAAAGAGGAAAACAUGGGUUACCUUGUCAUCAAUGAAUUUGGACCAGAAACGAGCCAAGGCUCUCUGGUAAGGAUCAGAAGGCAAGAUGGGGUUGUUGUUCCAGGUCUCAUCGAUGUACUCAACAAUCACAAGGGACUCCGCUAGGGGUUUGUCACCGUGAACAAAGACUGGAACCUUCUUGUGAACUGGGUUGUAUUUGAGAAGCUGUUCACUCUUGUUGCCCAAGUUUUCUUCCACAUAUUUGUAUUCAAUUCCCUUCAACUUUAGGGCUAUCUUCACCCUGCAAACAAAAGGGCUUGCAGUAGCUCCCAGAAGGGUCACCUCUUCCUGACUUGAAGCCAUUGCAGCACUCUAGCAAGAACGUGGGAAAAGUUGCUAAUUGUGUCUACAAUUUAUCACCAACUAAUCUACAUAAAUAUGGCGCAUCAGAAUAAUCGAGAAACCAAAAAAGGUUUGAUCCAUGGUCAAUGGCAAGUGAUGUAAGCGGUUACAUCAUCAUCAACAUUGUUACGAACAAAAAAAGCACACUUUGGUAUUCGUGUUCACGUGUACUUGGCAACACACACCACGUUAGAUGUUAAUUCUACUCAACUUUAUCCACGUUCCAUCGUUUUCCACGUUACAACUUGGUACACCUUUAAAUUUAAAAUAUGUAUAAUUUUAAUUAACAAAUUGGUAGGUUUUUACGGUUUAAAAAUUUAUAGUUUUAAUUAAAAUUUAACUUUAAUUAACAUUAUGAAAAGCUUUAAUUAAACACUGUAGCAAAAUUGAAAAAUGGGAAUUCUUAAAUUUCGGUAAAUGAAAAUAAGAAAUCGUGGAGACACGUAGCAACUACUGAAUCAGAUACUUCAGUCAGAUAACUAUGGUUUGAUUGGUCAUUGAGUUCGUCACAAGCUGUAAAAGUCAAGUUUGAAUUCUGCAAGUACUCCUCUUUCCAUGGCCACCUUCGUUGAACCUUACUGCUUAAUUAUUUUCAUGUUUUUUUAUAUUUUAUUAUCAUUUUCUUCUGUGAAAUUUGUUAGAAAAAAAAUCUAAAUUAAAAAAUGAGAAAUUCAUGAUAGUAGUAAUUAAAAGAAACAAUUUUUAUAAUAAAAAAUAACGAAAUAAAAUAUUAGAGAGAAGAAAUUAUAAAAGGUGUAGGUUGAAAAGCAUGUAUAAUAAUAUUGUUCUUGGAGAACACGUUCUGACAUGGAUAAAAGGAACUAAUACACGCUAGCGCUACUAUUGCAAUAUAUAGAACAAAAUACUUCCAGAAUACCAAUGUCAAAAGGUCUGAAUAAGGAAAAACAACAAUGAACUUUUUAAUAUAAUGCAUCUCUUGUCUUUUGAUAUAGUAACUUCAGUAUUACACUGCAUUGACAUUUAAGAAACUCAAUCUUAGUAGAAAAAGUAUAAAGUAGUAAUAUUUGUUUCUCAAUAGAGCUGAAAUAAUAAUUUAUUUAACAUAUUUUCGUCAUACUACAUCUCUAGUUAAUGUAAAAAUAUAAUCACUAGUAGAUAAAUUAUGGGUAUAUCUUCAUAAUUUAUUCAGUGUAUAUGUUAGGUUGGAUUUCGAGAAAUUUGUUAGAUAUAAAUCAAUAAUUGAAAAAUAUAUUUACCGAUCAAACCACUUCAUUUAAAAUUUUAAAACUUUAUGAACACCGAUUAUUUUAAAAAAAAAGUAUCAAUUUAUCUUUGGUUAUAGCAAUUUGACUAUCACACUGAAUUGCAAUUGAAGAUAUGGACUUUAUUUAACAAUGAUAAAUCAUAUAACAAUUGCAAUUGAAGAUAUGGACUUAUUUAACAAUGAUAAAUCAUAUAAUUUUUUUUAAGAAACUCCAUUUAAUAAUUUGAACUUUCAUGAUAGAGCAUAAAAUAAUAGUUUAUUUAACAAAUUUUCAUGAUACUCCACCUCAUGCUAAUGGUGUAAAGAAAUAACUAGUAGUUGAUUAAUUAUGAGUAUAUAUUUUUGUAAUUAAUCUACCAAUACUUUUAAAAUAUAUUCAUAUUUCUUUUAUUCUUCUAUAGUUCUAUAAGGUCUUUAUUAGGUUGGUUCUUAUAGAUUUUCUCUUUUAAAUAAUCAUUUAAAAGAAGUCUUUAAAAUCCAUGUAAUGAAUUUCUAAUAAAAACACAAGUAACAACAAUUAGGACUCCAAUGAGAGUAAUUUUAGAAACAAAUGAAUAUUUAUAAACAAAUCUACACAUUCUACUUAUUGGUAACCAUUAACAAUAAGUUUUGCCUUAACAUUAUUUGUAGAUAUAUUACUUCUAAUUUUUUUUCUUGAAAUUCCAUUUGUAGUCAAUACUUUUACAACUAAAAGGCACAUUAGUUAAAAUUCAAGAAGUUUUAUAUUGAGAAUCCAUUUAAUUAUAAAUAACGCUUUUUAAUUUGAUUAGAACCUAAUUCGAAUUAGUAUAUUUAUGAUAAGAAAUAUAAAUUUAUUGUAGAACACAAAACAUAAAACUGAAAGAUGUUCACCAUUGAACAUGAAUUUAAUUCAUAUGAAUUAAAUAUGAAAUCUGUAUCUAAUAAUAAGAAUAAUAUAACACAAGGAAGAAUAUAGAACAAGAAUUUUUAGAAACAUGUCACUUUAAUACAAGAUCAAUUCAAAAGAUUAUUUAAGGGUGAAAACUUACCUCUAACAAAAAAUAAAUGAACAUACACAUAGAAAUCUGAAAUAGAAACAUAAAGAAGAAAGACCAUCGUCAAUUUGAUAACUCAAAUGAAAGAAAAUAGAAAAAUGGAGAGGAAGAACUUAUGGUUGGAUUAAGAUUUUCAUGCCAAUUGGAGAAGCUUUAAGAAUGAAGAAGUUAGCACUUGAUCCAAUGAUCUAACUAAGACUCAACCAAAAAAUAACUCUCUCCCUUUUAAAGUACUCUAAAAAUUACUUUCACUCAAUUAUAUCAAAAGUUAUUUUACAAGAAAAGAAAAUAUGUUGGUUAUUUAUAGUCUAAGCAUCCAAAUUUCUACACCAAAAUUAAAUGUAUAUAUGCCUUGAAAUUAAAUGCAAAUUAACGUAAGAACUUAUAAGCUUUUGCUGAAAUUUAAACUAGUCUAAAGAUGAAGAUCUGUAUUUGAAAACUAAAAAUGAAAUUAAGGAAAACUCCACUAGUUGCAUAAAAAUUGAGGAGCAUCCAUGCUUGGUCUUUUCACACUUGUCUUGCCUUACUUGGUUCCUUAGUUUUCUUCCUUUAACUUCCCAUGUGUGUUGCUUGAGACUUAGGAGGACUUGAUUGAGCUUCAUAGCCUUUAAUUUUCUCAUUCAUUCUUUGUCUUCUAAAGUUCAUACCUUCUAGCUGGUUGGACUUAAUAUGAUAAAUUACAAUAUUACUAUUUACACUAUAAAAGCAUGUGUUUAUUUAAGACUAUUUAAUCAUUCAUAUUCAUUAUUCACCCGUCAAAAUUUAACAUUUUUUAUUACCAUUACUACUAGAAGGUAAGACACAAACUAGAAAGAUCACAAAUAGAUUUAGCCAAUUUAUCCUUUUAAAGAAUAUUUUUUCAAAAAAAUUAAAUUACAUAAUGAUAUUGUUAAAAAUUUCAACCACUUCAUAAUUUAUAAUUAAGAAGUAAUAUGUAAAGAGUAAUCAAUAAAAAGGCGAACCACAAUUUUAAGACUAAUUUUUCUUUUCUUUCUAAGAGGAAUGUUAACCUUUGCAAGAAUAUACACACUUUGAUAUAUUUAUAAUAUGAUUUUUUUUUCUCCAUAAUUCAUAGGGAAUUUUACAGGAACAAUUAUAAAGAAUUCUAUUUACGAAUAUGACAUAAGAAAUAUGAAGCUUCAACCUGUAUAUUUUUACACAAACUUGACCUUAAGCUUAAGCAUAACAUUUAUAAUAUCAACCAAGAUUCUACUCUUCUUUUUUCAAGUAUACCAUUAGAUCAUGGAACAUACAAAGGUGUUAUUUGACAAAUAAUAUAAUGUAUUUUAAAAAAACACUCAUUUAUAAAGAUAUGUAUUUUUUAUGUCUAUUUAAUUUUAUUUUUAACUAAUUUUCUAACUCUUUUUUGUAUAUUUUGAAUUUAUCAAAAAAAAUAAUUUUCUAAUUAAUUAAAUACACAAUAAUAUUUAGAGAAAUCACCAAUAAAAGUAAUAAAGUAUCUACUAUUACACUCGUUACUAAACUAAUUCAAGUAAAUUUUUUAAGAUAUUUAUUAUAAAAUUAGUAAAUUUAUCAUACAAGACCGUGAUGACUUAAUAUGGUAAAAAAGUUUUUGUAAAUUUAUAUAAAAAUACAAUUUUAAAAAUACGUAUUAUAAAAAUUAAUAAAUUAUUACGAUCUACCUUUAGGAUAUUUUUUGUAAGGCAUAUAUAAAACAAACUUAUUCGCUUCAAUAAUGCAAGUCAUUAUUAAAAUCGGAUGGAAUAAGGACUCGGUUAGUGGAUCACUACUUAGAUUAGUGAAUUAUUAGGCGCACUUGGAGUGAAAGGAAAUUGCUAUCAAUAUUUUUAGUGAAGCAUAUUCAUUUAUCACAUAUCAUAUCAUUAAACUAGUAUUAUGUUACACUUUAAUUAUAAUGUGUUUUGUGUUAACGAUGAUUUAAUUUACCCUUUCAAAAAAUUAUUUUGUUCUUUAUUUAAAGUAAUUAUCCCUUAAUAUUAACUUAUUUAUAAUAUAUAAUAUAACAAGUAAAAAUUAAUUAAUUAAAUUUUAGCAAAAAUAAAUAAUAUUCAGAUUUAUGUAUAUAUUUUUAUUUUAUGUAAAUAAUGACCACUUUAAAAUUAAAUAUAAAAAUACUAUUAAACAUAAUUUAAAUGUGUUACUUUUAAAAUGUUACUUCUUAUAAAUAUAUAAUUUUUGUAAACUUUUAUACACGUACUAUUAUACAUAAAUCGUACUAUCACUAGUGGAAAAAACUUAUUUAUGACACUAAAUACAUAUUAUUUUUAUUGUCAAACGUUGUUCAUUAAAACACGUUUAACAUUUUUUAAAUUAAAACGAGUAUGAAAUGACGAUUGUGGGUGAAACUACCAUUUUAGACCAAAUCGAUUGAGUCUAAAAUGACAAUUGUGGGUGGAUGUCAUUGGCCAGAUAAGCCAAUGUGAGUUACUAACAGAGGGCGCACUACAAGAAAUUUAGCUGUCAACGAAAAGUGAGGGCUAUAAAAAAGAAGUCACUAGCAUGGAUGAAGUCUACUCAUGUUGGACAAAAAAAUAAAUAUAAAAUAUUGUGUCUACAAUGGAGACCUUUAACUCUCACUAAAAAUUAUUAAAAUAAUAAUAAUAAGUUAGCAUUUAGAAUGGAGACACAAAGUAGAUGCAAUGAAAAAAAAUUAAGUGACAAAAUAAUAUUGAAUCUAGAAUGGGGACACAAAGUGGAUGCAAAUUAAAAAUUAUUAAAAUAAUAAUAAUAAGUUAGCAUCUAAAAUAGGGACACAAAGUAGAUGUAAUAAAAAAAAUAAGUUGUAGAAUGAUACUGCACUGAGAAUGAGGUCACAAAGUGUGCAAACUAAUGUUUUAUUACAUUUAGCGUAUGCCUAGGCGACACUAAGGUGAUAUAGACAUUUAUUGUCACCUAAGCCCAUGCUAAGUUAUUUAAUGAGAAAAAAAAUAAAAUAUUAAAACAUUUUUGUCUCACAUUUUCAUUUUCUCACACUUUCAAUUUCUCAUUUCUGUCUCACACUUUCAAACUCAUAAUCCUGAAAUUGCUCUUAAAAACCCUACGUUUUCUUCGUUGCCAUUUCGCUCUCCUUAAUUUCAUUUUUCGUUUUUAUCUUCGUGGCCAUUUUUCUCUCCUUAAGUGCAUUGUACUCAUUUAUUUCCCAGGUAGUGUCCCCAAUGGUGACAAUUUACUCACAUUUGUUUUCUCACGUAGUGUCCCCAAUGGCGACACUAAGUUUAAUUAUUGUUGGAGAUUCCACAUUGACUAGAAAUUAGGACAUUUCAUAGUAUAUAAGUGGGUGCAAACCUUACCUUAUAAGUCAGUUUUAUGAGGUUGAGUCAGGCUUAAAGUCUACUUCUUAAUAUGGUAUCAGAGUCAGUUUGAGCCUAUCCUAGCGAUUGUUUGUUUGUUGGGCUUAUCAUGCCACCCGCUAUCAGGCAUUAUCGGACCACCCAUAAUAUAUAGUCUCACGCAUGAGUUGGUAGCCUCAACGUGAGGGGUGAGUGUUGGAGAUCCCACAUCGACUAGAGAUUAUGACAUUUCAUAGUAUAUAAGUGGGUGAAAAUCUCACCUUAUAAGCAAUUUUAACGUCCACUUCUUAAUAACUAUUUAAUUUUAUAUCCAUUUUAGUGUCCCCCAAACCUACACUAUAUAUAUAUUUCUUUAUGUAGGCUUAGCCAACACUACCUUAUAAAUUUGUGUCCCAUUGGAGGUCGUCUUUAAUGCAUAGCCACCAAAAGAUUAGCUUCCAUUUUUAUUGGGACGUUAAACCCACACUAGCCCCAAGUAACGUCUCUCUUUUUCUUUUUGCGUCACUUUUAGGGACUCUACCAUCAUUAUUUCUUGUAGUGGCAACAUCUUUCCUCAGGUGGUGGCCAUUGGAAAAGUCUUUCAAGAGGCCACUACCUUACAUAACGUUCUCCCCCCCCCCCCCCCACUGAUGUAGUGAAGGUAACGGUGAAAAAAGUACGAGUUGUUGAUGCUCGUGUUCCACCUACAGAUGAGGUAACCACUUAGUCGAGGCAUUUCAGAUAUUCAUAGCUUGACCCAGACACCUCAUUCAAAUUAUACCACAACCCCCGGUAAUAAUUUCAUUUCAUUAUAUUAAUUUAUAUUUUUGUAUUGCAUCUAAUUUAAUACAAAUGUUCUUUAUUUUGUAAGAAUCUCAGCACAACCAAGCUCGCAAAAGAAGUUUGAGAUUCCCAUUGACGAUCCUAUACCUUCUUUAACAACAACGACUAAAUUGUUAGAAUAUAUGGCCUUAAACGAGAGGGGGGUGAAUUGUUUAAGAGGGGGUUUUGAAAUCUUUUUGAUCUUUAACAAAAUUCUUUGUAUGAAUCCAGAACAGAAAUCAGGUUAGCCAAGAACAAGAUCAAUAAAACAACAAAGCAGCAGAAAACAAUCGAUUGUUUCUGCAAAACAAUCGGUUGUUUAUACCAGUAAAACUAAAAACAUAAUGUAAACGAGUUUAAGGGUAAGAGAAAGAUACACCAACAGUUUAUAUUGGUUCACUCUUAAACCAAGAGCUACAUCCAGUCCCCAAAAAACCACUGGUAAUCCACUAAGUAAUCAAACCAGAUUACAACACACAAUCCACCAAAGCAGUAACCUUGAACCCUUCAAGAAACACACUCACUUUGGCAAAUCACACACCAAAAGUAUUGAUCUUGAUCCCUUCAAGAGCACACAACACUCAUCGGCAACACAACACCAGAAAUACAGAAGGUUGAGAAGAGAUUACACUCGUUUACAGAACAAUCUGAAAUUAAUACAAAUGCAAUCCUAUUCCACUCUCUUAGAAAACCCAAAGCUUUGAUGUGAAUAUUCAAAUCUUGAAUCAACUCUUUCACAACUGAAAAACUCAAGUAUGUUUCUCUACUUUGUUUGAAAACAUAAACAAGCUAUUUAUAUUUUCCAAAGAUUGGUCAAAGCAUUUAAUGAAGGAGCGUAUUCAAUUGGAAAUCAUUUAAAGCACAUUCAACCAUCAAAAUAGAAUUCUGUUAAGAUUUUCAAAGAAACAAUCGGUUGAAACCACGAAACAACCAAUUGUUUGGUUUGGCUGUUAAGUCAACCAAACUUAAACAAUUUUCAACCUUUUCAAAAACUCCUAAGAGUAAAACAACCAGUUUAUUCGACAAAACAACAUGAUGUUUUUCACUUAGUUUGAAAAACACUUUAUUUCAAAAAUGAUUUAAAACACAUUAGCUUUAGAUUCAACAAAGGAGUGGAUUACAAAUAAAACUACCCAGAUCCCUCCCAAAACACAACAACAACACAGCCUUGCAUCAAGCACAAAAGAUUUGAAUUCUUCAAAACACUUGAUAACUCUUGAUCAACAUAAAUAUAUUGAUCUAAAACCUAUCGAGAUUUCGUGGGAUGAUACUUUUUUUGGAAGAAACACUGACAUGCCCUUGUACAUAUAGAUAUCAUAUUUGUUAGAAUUUGCAACUGGAAACUAGGAGCUCAAUAUAACUAUAGUUCAUUUUUUUAUGAUGUAAGUAUCUUUACCUAUAUUAAUAUUUACUUUAUGUUAAAUUAUUAUUUAUUAUGAUUUAUCUAAUAACUUAUAUGUAUUUGUCUGGAGUUUCUAUUAAUGACGGGAAUCAAGAUGUCUAUGGAUUCUUGGAUCCCUAUUUGAUUAAUCCAAUUGGAGCAACGAAAGUUGAAACUCAGUCAUACAUCAUUAACACUCUGAGUUCAAAGGGAAAACAAAUUUAUCUUUUUCCUUAUAUUAAUUAGUAAGUUCAAUUAUAAGUCGUCAAUUAUUAUAUUUCUUCUUUUAAAUAUUUAUUAACUCUUUUCAUGGAUGAUAUAUGGCUCAUUGCCAAUUACUUGUGUUAUCCGUAGUUGAUAACACUAUUGUGUGGUUUUGUUCACUGCACAAGAAGUCAUCCACACAUCUGAAGCAAAUAAGUGAUGUGUAAUUACAUUAUAAAAUUAACUGCGUAUGUUACUUAAACGUAUAUUAAUGCGAUUUUUGUAUUAAUCAAGGCAUGACAUGGAUAUAACAUACUCAAAGGUCGAGCCAGUGCAAAUUAUCAAAAGCUAACAUGGUUGAACCUAAAGGUUCGUAAUUUUUGUCUUUCUCUUUUCAUUGUUUAUCAAUAUUAACUUUUAAUUUAUAUUGAAUUAUAGUGUAAUAGACAAUCGGGAGGCUAUGAGUGUGGCUAUUACAUUAUGCAAUGGAUGGUUACCAUUGUAAGACUAGGCAUUAAAACAAAUUGGGAGCAUGUAAUAAUAUUUAAAUUAUUCUUUAUAAUUAGUUAAAGUAUAUGUAUCUUAACACUAAUUAAUGUGAACCUUAUUUUGUAAUGUAGUUUUUUACGGAUGAGCAACCAUUGUCUUUGGCCGCCAUAAAUUAUGUGAGACAUGCUUGGGCCACAGAUUACCGUAAUUGUCGUUUAUACCUCUCGGGAGAAGGGUAUAAUAACCAUCAUUUAUACCUCCAUCUUUGAUGGGCCAAGGGAAGGGUCUAAAACAACGGUUCUCUUGCAUGUAUAAAAUUUGGCAGUGCAUGGAAGGGUCUAAACCGGCGGUUAUUACUAUAAUUGUCGUCUAUGCAUAAACACGUCGGUUCAAGAAUUGUCGUCUAUACCUCAAGAGAAUAGACUACGUGUUUAUUGAUAAGUUCCUAAUUUCCGUAAUAUUUCAUAUUAAAACAUAGGCACUUAUGAGUAUUAAUUGCUAAUUUACAUAUAAAAUAAUCUCUAAUUUAUGAAUUUAUACCUUUUUACAUUUUUUAUGAUCUUUAAUUGAAUAAGAGCAUUUUAUUCCUAAAUUUGGUGUUAAAUGUAGGUUUCUAUGGAAGAAUGGAGAUUUGGACUAAAGAAGAAUGAUAUAUGUUAAAAGGAGAAAGCUGGAAGACCCAAAACGCACACAAGAGAGAAAAAAGUCCAACUCAGUAGCGAGAAUGCGUCAAAUUAAUUGGGCUAAUUUUAUGUUUUAAUGAACAAGCCCGAAGCGCAACACAAGAAGUCAUCUAACCCUAGCAAAUUAGGUUAGAUAGGGGGCUAUAAGCACAACCCUAAGGUGCUAGAUUGAGAGGAAAGCACCAUUGAGUGAAUUCCAAUUGGGAGAAUGGAAGGAGCUAGAAGUAUGUGUGGUUAAGUCUACCCUUUGGGAUUGAGAGUAAUCUGUUUAAACUCUUAUGUAUUGAGGUGAUAUUUAAUUAUGAUAUAAUAUUUUGUUCUUCAUUGAUUAUUGGUAUUGUUUUUUUGCUUCUAAAUAUUUGUGACAUGUUUGAGAAUCUUAAAUCUGACUGGAAAGUAGUUUUAGAGUUCUGACCUAAACAACAAUACUUAACAUAUUUGAGUGUUAGGAAUAGACUUGAAAUGUUAAUUGCAAUUAAUGUUUGAGUUUGAUUCUAAGUUGUUCUUAUAAAUAUGCGAGGGAUCGAUAUUUAGGGAAUAUUCUUAAGAAUUGUAUAUGUGAGGAAUCAAUAUAAAUGACUUUUAUACGAGCAUCAAUUUCAAUCAAAGAACAUAAUGUUAACAUGCUAAUCAAAAUAUGAAAGAGUGAGACAGAUGAAACUUAAUCCCUAUUUUUCCAACUUAAAGCAAUCAAUUCUUUGUCUGUUUUCUUAUUGAUCAUCGCCAACAUAACCAUUUUCAACACACUUUUAAUUGUUUUGUUUUAUAUUUAGUGAGUAUUGUACUUGAUAAUUCAACUGUUCUUUGUGGGAUCGAUAUCCGUCCUUAGGGACAAAUUAUUACUUUUGACAGCGCAGUGCACUUGCUGCAAAAAGUCAUUAUUUAUAUAUAGCAAUUUCGAGACCAUUGUCUUAUUGCUAAAAGAAUCGUCACUAGUACUUACUUUUUUUUGCACUAGUACAUUACAUCAAAUGACGUGAUUACAUAAAAAGUAAUUAAAGUGAAAUAAAAUUAACCUUAGUAACAUACGAAAAGGCCCAUAAAUAUUCUACAUAACUAAUAUUUAUGAAAUUAUUUUAGAACAUGAGAAAACUCAUAAUUCAGUUUACAGAAUUUGAAUUCUUUUGUUUUUUUUCUUGUAAGAAAAACAUGUCAUGUUGCCUAAUUAAUUUGAUAAGGAUUUGACUCCCAUAUUGCACAAGGCAUUCUGUCUCGAUAUUGUUCAUUGUCAGACUUUCGCGCACUGACACAAGACAUUCAUCAAAGCGUCACCUCAAAAUCAAAUAUCUAGAUCAAAUCCAACCUUAUCAAUGCAUAUAAUUCAUUCCAUAUUACAUGAGGCAUUGUGCCUCAAUACUGUUCAUCAUCAUCUUUCUGCACAUUGGCGCAAAUCAUUAAUUAGAGUGUCGCCUCUAAAUGAAUGGUACAAAUAAAGUUCAUUCAGAUGAAAACACAUGAUUCACUCUUACAUUACAUGAGACAUUAUGCCUAAUACUAUAUAACCUAGAAGUAAUAAUUUGGAUUAACUCUAAUUUUAUCAAUGCAACAACUUCAAAAACGUCAAACGAGGCAUUAUUCACCACCAUUGUUGACCAUGUACUCUAUUUGUAGACUCAAUUAUUGGAUUGUAUCAAAUUUUUUGUCUUUAUCUCUACAUUUAAACUAAUCUAUUGUCUCGUACUACUGUCAUUCAAUGCUUGCAACAAGUCGGAUUUUUUGAAAUAAUAAAACUUAGACAUCUCAAGGUGGACGACUAUUUGGUAACCACUUUGAUUGAGAGGUGGAUAAUUAAGACUCAUACAUUCUAUUUACCCUCUUCGGAGCACCACAAAACUUGAAGGUGUUUCACUUAUGCUUGAGUUAAAUGUUGAUAAACCCAAAUCAUUGGUCCCAUGAUGGUUGAUUAGAAAGAAAUGUGUGAUAUAUAUUAAGGUAUCGUGUUUGUUAGAGGAAAGACAUUACUUGACGAUAAGGUCAAACUAAAGUGGAUAAGAGAGAACAUGUUGCCACUACUAGAAGAACCAUUUAAGGAACAACUCCACGUCUAUUGUAGGGCAUACAUCUUAGGUGUUUUAAUGUUUGACAAAGCAAACAACAAAUUACAUUUCAUGUACAAAAACAACGAGUGGUUGUGCACCACAAUUACAAUCAUGAGCAUGACAUUGCAUGUCAUAUAUCAUACCUAUUUUUAACCUCUAACCAACUUAUCCAUUUGUGUGCAAAUAGAGUAGAGGUAAAGUACAAAACUUUCAAAAUGUACCUUACAAUGAUCUAGUUGGGUAUAGAGAAAUGAUAGAUCACAUUUAAGGAGACUAGGUACAUAAUAUAACAAAUUCAUAUCUCAUGUUUUCUUUAAUAUUUGUCUUUAAUAUUAACUUUGGCUAUAUUUUUUUUUUUAUAACAAACAUCUCUUUAUUGUACUUUUUAUGAGCUACAUAUUGAGACUUAGAGAGAUUAACAUCGGCUGAAACCUAUAGAGAUGCACAAUUAUGGAAAUCGUGCACUACAAUAAUUUGUUUUGCAAUUGUUAAAUGACAAUAAUUUAAGAGGGUGAAAGUCAGUUUGAUCUAUUAUGAGAAAUCCUUUCUCCACCCAAAAAUUUGGAAAAACUACAUAAAAUUGACACGAGGGGGCAUUGAUGAGUAAGGUACAAAUGUGCACAAUGGAACAAUGUGCAAAACAACAAACGUGAAUUAACAUUGACUAGGAAUCCAAUACAAGGACUAUUGUUCCAUAUACAUAAAUACAAGAAAGGGUACAUACCAAUCCAUCUAUUUCUUAUGUGUGUCAUAACUAAUCUAAGAUCUAAGAAACACACAUUAUAAGCAAAACUCACCAUCCACAUUCAAAACAAGUAUAUACUACAUUCAUUCUUAUUCAAUUCCUCAAGAACAUUUAUGCCAACUCCUGAGUCACGCCUCCACCACACUCGAUUAUGAAUGAACGGAGACAUUUGUUUGUGUCAAGUUCUGAUGAUCUGUUGUCAAAUUUAUUUGUGAGAAUUUUUAUAACACCAACUUUGACCCUUUACUCGAGGGAUUUUCAUAUUGAAACUGACAAUUCUAGUGUUGUGUUUUCAAAUUAUGGAGCAUACCAACAUAUGAGUGUGUAAAAUCCAACAAGCCCUACCCAAAAAAAUAACCACUGUAAAUGAAUGGAAAUUCCCACUAUAGAGACUACAUAUAAUAUAAAAUUUAUUUUAAUUAACCAAAAUAUUGACUAAUAUCUCCAAAACUUAAUUUUACAAUUUAUAAUUCUUAAUUUUUUAAUCUAUAUUUAAUAUUUAUAAUAUUAUUCACAUGUCAUCUAAAUAUUUAUAAAAUAGUCAAAUAUAUACAUUUACAAUAAUAAACGUAAUAUUAAAUUAUUUAAAAAUUAUAUUACUAAAAUAUAAUAAUAUUUAAAAUAUUGAUUUAAGUUAUUGUAUAAUAAAUUAAAAUUUUGACAAUCAUUAUUAAUUUAAACUACACUUACACUUUUAAUGUUAAUAAUUAAUUCUAGUGGUUUAAAUAUACAAUUACUUUAUUAUUAAUAAAUUUAAUAGUCUUUAUAAAUGAUUAAACUAUCAAGUUUGUAAUAGCUAAUAUAAAAUCAGAUAAAAAAAUUCAUUACUAAUGUUAAGAUAAUGUUUCAAUAAAUAUUAAUUAUUAUUAUGUUUCAAUAAAUAUUAAUUAUUAUUAUUAUUAAUUGUAAUUUUAAAAUUUUAAUAAUACCAAACAGUUUAAUUUAAGUAUCAAUACUAAUUAAUUACAAAUUUUAAUGUUACAAAUAUUUUAAUUUAGUUUAUAUUGACAUAAUUAUUAAAAUAUUAUUCUGAUUAUUAUUAUUAAUUAUAAAUUUUAUUUAUUUAUUUUUUAUUUAUAUAGUAUUUUAUUAACCUGUCAUACUACAUCACUAUGAAAUCCACACAGCUAUGCGCAUAAUUAAUCUCAAUAUCAUCUCUCUCCUAGUAUGACAGGGUUAACUCAUAUAACAGGUCAAGUUAGUUAUCUAUCAAACAACUUACCCAUUCAUACGAACCUCAUUUGACUCUCACGACCUGAAUAACUUCAUCUAUAUGAUUCCAUUAUCUCAUUAGAGUCAGGAUAUCUCCUUCUAGAUGAAUCCCUAGUCAAUGCACAUCCUAAACAAUCUUAACUAUUUUCUUUUCUGAAAAUACUAUGUCUUGAUUAAAAUUCAUAUUUUGAACCUCAUAAUAUCCAACAUCAAACUAUCAAAUCAUACCAAUGCUUAGAAUAUCCAAAACACACAACAAUUCAUUAACUAAUCAUAUAAAUGUCUAAUUAAAGAGAUUUUCAAUUAAUUAUACAUGAAAUAAAAGUUUACAUACUUUAUAAGAAAAACUAUAUAAAAAUAAAUAAAUCAAUCUUUUAAAAGCAAAUAAAAAAUAGAUUAACAUUUUAAUUUAUUAUUAUUAUUAUUAUUAUAGACUUUAGCUUGAGCUAGAAUUCGCUAGCUUGAGCUAAAAUCCACUAGAGAGCACCCAGAAUUUUAGCUUGAGCUAAAAUUCGCUAGCUUGGGCUAAAAUCCUCCAGAGAGCACCCAAAAUUUUAGCUUGAGACGGAAUUCGCUGGCUUGAGCUAAAAUCCUCCAGAGAGCACCCAAAAUUUUACCUUGCUAAAAUUCGCUAGCUUGGGCUAAAAUUAUCCAAAGAGCACCCAAAAUUUUAGCUUGAGCUAGAAUUCGCUAGCUUGAGCUAGAAUUCGCUAGCUUAAGCUAAAAUCCUCUAGAGAGCACCAAGAAUUGAGCUAGAAUUCACUAGCUUGCAGAGAAUCAUUGAGCUAUUAUGUCCAUCUAUAUAUAUAUAUAUAUAUAUAUAUAUAUAUAUAUAUGAUUUCUAAUUCCAAAACCAUUUAAAUCAAACAACCAAAUCUCAAUCACAACACUUUUAAUUUCAAUCAAACUACAAUCUACUAAAAACAAGGAAAUCUUGCAACAAAAUUUGGAAUUGGUGACCACAUCACACUCACAUUCAUUGAAAAUUUUAAACUAGCUUCCCUUACCCGGACUUUAGCAGAUGCUCACUAAGAAGCUUAAGGAUACCCUAGAUCAAAACUAAUUCAAAGGAAAGAAAUUUUAGAGAGAAGGUAGAGGAAAGAAAAAUGAGUUUUUAGAGAGAUGAUGAUUCUUUUAAAAUGAAACCUGAAUAACUAAAUUUCUAUUUAUAUAGCCUUUUCACUUUAAUAAUAAAAUAUUCAGGUGUCAUUUUAAUUGUACCAUUUAUACUCUAAAACUAUUUUUGUCGUUCCUUACAAUAUACUUUACAAAUCAAUCUAAUAAUAUUUUAAUCAUAUUUAAUUUAGUUUUUAAUUUAAAAUAUUAUUAUAUUAUUAUAAUAUUGUGUAAGAUGUAUGUUUUUAUUGUAUGUAGAUUUUUUAAUAAAGCAUUGACUAUACAAUUUUUAAUUAAUGAUAUAAAAAAAGAUAUUUUUAUUAUUUUAUAUAAAAUUUGAAAUUUGUUCUCCAUAUUUUGUAUUUUUUUUAAUAAUACUUUUUUUUAUGUGAUGACAAAUGAUUGUUAUUAUUUGAUGUGUCAGCAUAACAAGAUGUUAACAGUGAUGCAAAUUUUUUUUAUAUAAAUAGAAUAUAAAAUUUGAAAUAAAGAAAAAGAGUUAUAUUGGAGCAAAGUUCUCAAAUGUAUAUUCUUCUUUCCAAUACCGAUAACGAGAACUAACAACGCAAGAAUGAACUUCAUAGUUUAGAAAUGGUUUGACAUGUUAUCGAAUAGGUUUACUAAAUCAAACAGAAUACCAAUUUGAGACGAAAUUGAAACAGCAAUUUAUUGUUGAUGGAGAAGUUGUUCACACAAUUAUCCCUAAAUCAAUCUAUUUUGAGGCAGUGAGGCUUUCAUAGCGGCCUUUGAAGAAGGCAAACAGUGGUUCCCUUGGAGGAAGAACUUCCUUCACAACAGAGUGGUUUAUCAACUCUUGGCUCCAUUUGUAGAGAUUAGGAAAUUUCUCACUGCUCAAUAACUGUAACCCUGCUAUUUCCUGAACAAUUGGCAUCCAAAAUGCUAUGAACACACCUGCAAUAUCCACCAACCCAAUCUCCUCUCCCCCAAAAAAUUUCUUCUCCUUUAUCUCAUCCUCAAGAAACUGCAGACCCUCCAAUGCUUCUUGCAAAUUCUUCUCUCUCUCUUUCUCAUCAACAGUGAAAGCAGAUUUCCAUGCAGCACCCACAACCUGAUUUCACACACCAGUUACCACAAACAUUUCACCUUUCAAAUCAUUAACAUGAUCGUACAAAAAAUUGAUACAUCUGAUGAAUGAAGUUUCUUAGAAAAACAUAUGGUUGGCUGUUGAUUAUUGAGUUCUUAAACAUAUAUACUCCAAGGAAAAAGGAGGAAAAGAGGAAAACAUGGGUUACCUUGUCAUCAAUGAAUUUGGACCAGAAACGAGCCAAGGCUUUCUGGUGAGGAUCAGAAGGAGAGAUGGGGUUGUUGUUCCAGGUCUCAUCGAUGUACUCAACAAUGAUCAUAGACUCUGCUAUGGGCUUCUCAUUGUGAACAAAAACUGGGACCUUCUUGUGAACUGGGUUAUAUUUGAGAAGCUGUUCACUCUUGUUGGCCAAAUUUUCUUCCACAAAUUCGUAUUC
rnacentral:lncRNA from 1 species